rnacentral:rRNA from 1 species
CUGGCGGCAUGCCUAACACAUGCAAGUCGAACGGCAGCGGGGGAAAGCUUGCUUUCCUGCCGGCGAGUGGCGGACGGGUGAGUAGAGCAUAGGAAUCUGCCCUUGAGUGGGGGACAACCUGGGGAAACCCAGGCUAAUACCGCAUGAGCCCUACGGGGGAAAGCGGGGGACCUUCGGGCCUCGCGCUGAAGGAUGAGCCUAUGUCGGAUUAGCUAGUUGGUGAGGUAAGAGCUCACCAAGGCGACGAUCCGUAGCUGGUCUGAGAGGAUGAUCAGCCACACUGGGACUGAGACACGGCCCAGACUCCUACGGGAGGCAGCAGUGGGGAAUAUUGCACAAUGGGCGCAAGCCUGAUGCAGCAAUGCCGCGUGGGUGAAGAAGGCCUGCGGGUUGUAAAGCCCUUUCAGUGGGGAGGAAAAGCGGGGUGUUAAUAGCGCCUUGCCGUGACGUUUCCCACAGAAGAAGCACCGGCUAACUCCGUGCCAGCAGCCGCGGUAAU